UCAAGGUACUCAGGCAAAGCUGCAACAUAUGUAAAUACAUACAUAUAUAUUCAUAAAUGUUAAGAGGUACAAACUUUCUUGUUAUAAGUUUAGCCCUGUUAUAAACAGAAGUAUAAAGCAGGAAGAAACUGCUCUACUUGGCACAUUGAUUUCGGCAUGGAAAAGACAAACAAGAAGUGCAUUCAUAAUCACAACCACAUUCACCUCUGCGACGCACUGGCCACAGCUAAUUUCAGGUACCUGUGAGGGGCCUGAGGCUGUGUGGAUGGGAAUGGGGUCCCUAUGUCUGCUGCAGCUGUCACUCUGCUGGCCUGAUGAGAG